AGUAAGGACCUCAGCCGAAGCGCGGGGCAUGCUUUUGGUUUAGGUAGAAAAACUGCUCCGAGUUUGAUUCCAAAAACUCUAUCAGACUCCCUUCUUUCACCUCUCUAGUCCAUGAAGGAUCGGAGACACGACAGGAGGUGACCACUGCAGCACCCGCCCAAAGCUGACUGAGACAGCAGGAAGUCUCCAACCCAUUCUCGCCCGUCCACUCCCAGCGUAAAGAGGAUUCCGCGACUCGGAGACCGCAAUCUACCCGCCAGUCUCUAUAAUGUAGGCCAGAGCAGCUGGGCUGAAUAAAACAGAGCCGGGGCUCUCCCUUCCCAAAGGCCUACAUCGCCCACCGGUCCGGGCUCGGAGCUCAGCAGAACCAGAGAAGGAGCGGUUGUUGCCGGCACGGAGGAGGGAGAGCUCUUGUGACGCUACGAACCUCUCGAACACCUGACGACUGGGCGCCAGGGCCGGAUGGAGGGUGGAGAGCCACUGCGGCGCAGCUGCCUCCUCUUAACGGGGACACCUAGCAGGAAUGUGCGGAGUGGAGCUAAGGGGAGCGGAUAGAAACCGAGGGAGGGGAAGAGAGCGCGAAGGCUUGGCCGGAAGGAGAGGUUAAAAAGGAAAGGCCUAAAAUGAGGAAGAGAGUUACCACAACAAGCAGUACCUAGUUCCAGUUCUUGGUCCCAGGAGUUUGUGGUUGUUGCUGCUUUCAUCUUCCUCAGCCAACACAAAAGGAAAGUGCCAAGGGGCGAUUCCUAGGACCUUCAGUGCAGUCUCCACCUUGCGGACUUGGCUUAUUUGUGUGCACUCCUUUCUCCAGCCUUUUACACUUGAUGCUCUUGGAUGAAUAGAAAGGAGCACAAUUAAUGGAAAACACAAGCUUGGGAGUCAAGGGAUUUGGGUUCUAUUCUUGUCCUCCCUUGGUGACGACAUCAUUACCUUGGGUUAUUCAAGCUUUCAGUGCCAGAGUUCCUAUAUUAAUAAAAGAUUAUUACAUUGACCUCUAAGAGAAAUGUUUUCAUGGUACUGAAUUGCAAAUAAAGUAUGUGUAGCAAUGUGUCAUAUCUUUGUAGUUGUACGGUAUUAGCUGUGAAUCAUACUGUGAUGAUCAGUGCGAUUUAAGUGCACCAUGUUAUUUGGUGAUUAUUUUUCUGAGAUCUUGUAAAAGAUUUUUCCGCUAUAUAUAUGCAGCUUUAUAAACAAGUUUUUAGGUACAUUCACAACUAAGGACAUUUGUGAAUCAAAAUUAUCCCUGCUUUUUUUAAAUGUAAAGUUCUGUAUUUUUAGGUGGUUUUCAAGAUGCUUUCAGUUUCUGGAAUUAUUGUUUUGGGCGUUGGGACUUGCCUAACCUUUUUCCCAUACCUCCCUAUUUUUCUAAAUACAGUGUUGAUAUAGUCAGGCAUUUUUCACCAAUUUGGGUUUUUUUUAAAAGAAGUUUUCCUUAGAAAGUACUUCUUUUUCAUAUUAAAAAAAAUUUUUUUUAAGAGAUGGGGUAACCCAAACUGGAGUACAAUGGCACAAUCAUAGUUCACUGCAUCCUUGGACUCCUGGGCUCAAGGGGUCCUUAUGCCUCAGCCUCCAGAGUAGCUGGGUCUACAGAUGCUCAUCACCACCACUGGCUUUGAUUUUUUUGUUCUAUCAUACUUAGCCUAUCAGCUGACAACCUUCAGAUUCAUGCAAAUCCAGGUUCAGAGUAGUAGUAUUAAUGUCUGCUGAUGCUGAUAUUUAAAUAAUUAGAAUUAAAUAGAGCUUUCAAGUUGUAUUUUAUGUAAUUUAACCUGUAAGUUAGAAGUUUUGUUGGCAUUUUAUGGUGCAUCAAGAAAACUUACUGAGAGAAGAUGUACUUAUUUUAGAUCUGAUAAAAUGUUAAACGUG